rnacentral:rRNA from 1 species
UGGGGGAUAUUGCACAAUGGGCGAAAGCCUGAUGCAGCGACGCCGCGUGGGGGAUGAAGGCCUUCGGGUUGUAAACUUCUUUUGCUCUGAACAAGGCAUGCCUUUGGGGUGUGUUGAGUGUAGGGGUUGAUUAGCGCCGGCUAACUACGUGCCAGCAGCCGCGGUAAUACGUAGGGCGCGAGCGUUGUCCGGAAUUAUUGGUCGUAAAGGGCUUGUAGGUGGCUGGUUGCGUCUGUCGUGAAAGCUCAUGGCUUAACUGUGGGUUUGCGGUGGGUACGGGCUGGCGUGAGUGCAGUAGGGGAGGCUGGAAUUCCUGGAGUAGCGGUGGAAUGCGCAGAUAUCAGGAGGAAUACCGGUGGCGAAGGCGGGUCUCUGGGCUGUUACUGACGCUGAGGAGCGAAAGCGUGGGGAGCGAACAGG